UACGUAGGGACCAAGCGUUGUUCGGAUUUACUGGGCGUAAAGCGUGCGCAGGCGGUGAUGUAAGACAGUUGUGAAAUCCCCGGGCUCAACCUGGGAACUGCAUCUGUGACUGCAUCGCUGGAGUGCGGCAGAGGGGGAUGGAAUCCGCGUGUAGCAGUGAAAUGCGUAGAUAUGCGGAGGAACACCGAUGGCGAAGGCAAUCCCCUGGGCCUGCACUGACGCUCAUGCACGAAAGCGUGGGGAGCAAACAGG
rnacentral:rRNA from 1 species